AUGAUCUCUACAUCCCUACUGCUGCUGCUGCUGGCAGCCGUACACUGUGUUCACAGUGUUGAGCUGAUCCAGACCGGAUCCACAGUAUUAACUCCUGGUCAGUCACUGACUCUGACCUGUAAAGUGUCUGGAUAUUCAUUAACUGAUAGCAGCUACUGUACAGACUGGAUACGACAACCUGCAGGAAAAACUCUGGAGUGGAUCGGAGAGAUAUGUGGUGAUGGUAACACUUACUACAGUGAGAAACUGAAAAGCAGGUUUCAGGUUUCCAGAGACACGUCCAGCAGCACAGUGACAUUAACAGGACAGAACAUGCAGACUGAAGACACAGCUGUGUAUUACUGCGCUCGUGAACCACAAAAUGAGACGAAUAAACAACAUCCCUGUGACUGGUUUGAGUGCCCAGGAUUCUGCUGUUUAUUAAAAAUCUCAGAUGUGGUCAAAGAGAAAAGUGUAUUCAAUGUAGAGGCCAUUUUCACAAGAUCUGCAGGUGGCGCUACAGCUUAA